rnacentral:rRNA from 1 species
GGAAGAGCUCAAAUUUGUAAUCUGGCACUUUCAGUGUCCGAGUUGUAAUCUCGAGAAGUAUUUUCCGCGCCGGACCGCAUACAAGUCUGUUGGAAUACAGCGUCAUAGUGGUGAGAACCCCGUAACUGAUGCGGAUGCCCGGUGCUUUGUGAUAUACUUUCGAAGAGUCGAGUUGUUUGGGAAUGCAGCUCAAAUUGGGUGGUAAAUUCCAUCUAAAGCUAAAUAUUGGAGCAAGACCGAUAGCGAACAAGUACCGUGAGGGAAAGAUGAAAAGCACUUUGGAAAGAGAGUUAACAGUACGUGAAAUUGUUGGAAGGGAAACGCUUGAAGUCAGACUUGCUAUUCGGAGUUCAGCCGCAAGGUGUAUUCUUCGAUUUGCAGGCCAGCAUCAGUUUUUGGGGGUGGAAAAUCGUGGUUUGAAGGUAGCAGCUUCGGCUGUGUUAUAGCUUUCCACUGGAUUCAUCUUCGGGGACUGAGGAACGCAGUACGCUUUUUGCAAGGCUUUCGAG